UGUGGGAUGAACCAAACGUAGGAGUUAAGGUAGCCAAAGUGCCCGCUCAUUAGACCCCAUAAAAGGUAGUUGGUUGAUAUAGACAGCAGGACGGUGGCCAUGGAAGUCGGAAUCCGCUAAGGAGUGUGUAACAACUCACCUGCCGAAUCAACUAGCCCUGAAAAUGGAUGGCGCUGGAGCGGGCCACCUAUACUCUGCCGUCAUUGGCUUGUACGCCACUGCUGUGGACAGUCUGGCCAUGACGUGUAGGAGGGUCGUGGUGGUUGCGUUGAAGGCUUUGGGCGUGGGCCCGGCCGGAGCUUCCACCAGUGCAGAUCUUGGUGGUAGUAGCAAAUAUUCAAGUGAGAUCCUUGAAGACUGAAGUGGAGAAGGGUUCCACGUGAACAGCAGUUGAAUCUUAGGCUUAGGCUUAGGCUUAGGCUUAGGCUUAGGCUUAGGCUUAGGCUUAGGCUUAGGCUUAGGCUUAGGCUUAGGCUUAGGCUUAGGCUUAGGCUUAGGCUUAGGCUUAGGCUUAGGCUUAGGCUUAGGCUUAGGCUUAGGCUUAGGUGUCGUGGNGUAGGUCUAGGUCUAGGUCUAGGCUGGCUAGGCUUAGGCUAGGCUUAGGCUUAGGCUUAGGCUUAGGCUUAGGCUUAGGCUUAGGCUUAGGCUUAGGCUUAGGCUUAGGACUUGGCUUAGGCUUAGGACUUGGUACUUAGGCUUAGGCUUAGGCUUUAGGCUUAGGCUUAGGCUUAGGCUUAGGCUUAGGCUUAGGCUUAGGCUUAGGUCGUUAGUACUUCGGUACUAAGUGUAGUCGACGUAUUACGGAAGUUAGGCUUACGGCGUUAGGCGUUAGGCUUAGGCUUAGGCUUAGGCUUAGGCUUAGGCUUAGGCUUAGGCUUAGGCUUAGGCUUAGGCUUAGGCUUAGGCUUAGGCUUAGGCUUAGGCUUAGGCUUAGGCUUAGGCUUAGGCUUAGGCUUAGGCUUAGGCUUAGGCUUAGGCUUAGGCUUAGGCUUAGGCUUAGGCUUAGGCUUAGGCUUAGGCUUAGGCUUAGGCUUAGGCUUAGGCUUAGGCUUAGGCUUAGGCUUAGGCUUAGGCUUAGGCUUAGGCUUAGGCUUAGGCUUAGGCUUAGGCUUAGGCUUAGGCUUAGGCUUAGGCUUAGGCUUAGGCUUAGGCUUAGG
rnacentral:ncRNA from 1 species